AGCCCCCAGUUCUCUUUCCCGUCCUCGGGUCUAAACACUGGUCUGGGUGGUUACUCAAGGAGGGAAAGCAACAUUGAAAUCGACUGAGGUGUUUUUUGUAGCACAUGGGCUUGUUCCAAACAGGU
rnacentral:snoRNA from 1 species